CGCCUGUACUGGUGGAGCCCGGUGAUGACGCUUUUGGGAAAGACCCACAGACUGGGCUCGGCGUGGCUGUGGUGGCUCCGGAGGGGGUCAGGGGCCGGCCUUCCUGCCAGCAGGAGGGGUGAAGCCGGAUGCUGCCUGGCGAGGCAGAGGAAGCGGGCCGCCCUGGAGGCGAGGGCGGUAGGCGGGGCCGGUGGCCUGCAGGUGUUUCCGUCCAGCUGAGUGGCCUGGACAGUGGCGGAUGGGCGGUCCUGCGGGCUCCGGCAGCGGACGCCUGGGUGUGCAGGCCGAGCAGGGCCCGGGCCUCCGCGAUUCUUCGGGGGGAUGCGACGCCUGGCUGUCUCCCAGGUGAGGGCGCGGCCUCCACAGAUGCUCCCCGCGGUCCCCACAGGUAGACGUAGACUUCUGUCAGCCCAGCCCCUGCCAGAAAGGAGCUCGCUGCUACAACCUGGAGGGCGACUAUUACUGCGCAUGCCCCGACGACGUGGGCGGCAAGAACUGUUCUGUGCCCAGGGAGUCGUGCCCGGGCGGGGCCUGCGGAGUGAUCGAUGGGUGCGGGUUUGAGUCGGAGUCCAGAGUGGCGGGCAGGGCCCCUUCUGGUGUAUGUGGUCCCCACGGGCACUGCGUCAGCCUGCCUGGGGGCAACUUCUCCUGCGUGUGCGACAGCGGCUUCACGGGCGCCUACUGCCAUGAGAACAUCGACGAUUGCCUGGGGCAGCCGUGUCGCAAUGGGGGCACGUGCAUCGAUGAGGUGGACGCAUUCCGCUGCUUCUGCCCCAGCGGCUGGGAGGGCGAGCUCUGUGACACUAGUGAGUAAGCCCCCCGCCCCCGGCCCCGCCC